UGUAAAUUCAUGCCUUAAAUUUUCAACUCUUGAAAAUAUGAAUUUACAUUCCUACUAACUCAAAGGAUGUAUCACAGACACAAUGUACACAAUGUGAUAGAAGAAUAAUCUUUUUAUUCAUUUAUAGUCAAAAUUAUAAAUUUGCCCUUAGAUCUGUACAGGAAUGUGUCAGUCGAUCUGGUAUCUAGGGCACACAUCUAACAAACUCCUACUUGACCUAAUGCCAAUUGGCUACAUAUCUAAGUCCCAUCUUCUCAAAGUGGGCUUUGAUCUUCUGUUGGCCCAAUGGCUUAGUCAGCGGGUCUGCCACUUUAUCUGUGGAGUCGACU
rnacentral:lncRNA from 1 species